AUGUUACCUGGCAUAUUAUGUUGUUUAAUUAAGUGUUAAGCUUUGUUUUACUUUAAGGUUUGUAGGCAUCAUGUUUUGCGCUGAACAACAGCACUGAACGUGUCCUGUUCACCAUGCGUUCUCGUGCUGUUUCACUCCUGUGUUUCACUCCUGUGUUUCACUCCUCCCCUCAUAUAUCAUCGCGUUCCUCCUCCGACACACGACCCGCAGAACGCUUCGACAGCAUGUCGUUAAACACCGAACGGUCACGUCGUAUUAAACUAGUAGCCUAUUGAAAUACGCGUGAUAUUACAUCUAAAACUGAAUUCGAAAUCGCUGUAGAAAGUGAGAAAACAAGUAUCGAGAUGACAAAUGAAACACAACCGUGUGAUUUCCUGAAGUGACUGUAACUCCUGCUGCUGCCGCUCGCGCUCAGACACCCGACCCACAUGGCCCACGUUAGCGAUCAGUACACGUCUCUAAACUAUCCCGAGGAGAAUGACGAAACCAGGAGUGAAGAGUUUGAGUCAGAGCUUCACCCAACCGUCCCACAACCUGCGCAGAUCAUUCACCAGCAUUACACGGCGAGCUACGCCCAUCAGACGCCCUUCCCCAGCUGGGACGGUCCCGUCAGGGCGGAUUCUCCUCACAGCCUGCCCUCCUGCCUCCCGUCUGCCAUCUACCACACGCUCUCGGAUGAAGGCUCGUUUUUUCCCAGCAGGCCUCACUCUCUUCCGGGCAGCUGUAGUCCGAGUCUGGAGAGUCUGGAUUAUCCCAGAUCCCUGCGUUCCUUUCCUCCGUCUGCGAACAUGUACCACCAUCCCUCGCCCUCGUACCCCAACGCUUACCUGCGGCCGCCCUGCUGCGGUCAGUUCGGUCCGCCGCCGCGUCACUUGGUUCCCGUCCAUCACUGCAGCUCCUCAGGCCUGAUGCAGUACAGACAAAUGGACACACGCUUCUCUGAAAAGUGA
rnacentral:lncRNA from 12 species